UGCGGCGUCGCCCAGCGGCAGGGCAGCGGCUUCAUACGCCGUUCGGCGCGGGUUCGAGUCCCCGCCGCCGCAACCA
rnacentral:tRNA from 1 species